GUCUUGCCUCAAUGUUGACAACAGCUGACUAAUCAGGGUGGUAUUUCUGAAGGUUGGGAUGGCUGGAUGUGGCAAUUUCUUAAAAUAAGACAAUAAUUUGCUGCAUCAACCAACUCCUCCUUUCAUAAAAGCAGAAAUUCUCUGUUGUAUGUGAUGCUAUUGGACAGCUUUUUACCAAUAGUAGAACUUUUUUCAAAAUUAGAGUCAAUCUAUUCAAAUCCAAUUGCUGCUGUAUCAACUACGUUUAUGUAAUAUUCUAAAUCCUUGCAUCUCCACUAGGUGUAGAUCCUAUUUCAAGAAACCACUUUCUUUGUUCAUCCAUAUGAGGCACCUCCUCAUCUGUUAAUUUUAUCAGGAGAUUGCAGCAACUCAGUCCCAUCUUCAAGGUCCACUUCUAAUUCUAGUUCUCUUGUUAUUUUCACAUUGCAGUUACUUCCUCCACUGAAGUCGUGAACCCCUCAAAGUCAUCCAUCAGGGUUGGAAUCAACUUCUCCCAAACUCUUGUUUAUGCUGAUAUUUUGACUUCUCCCCAUGAAUCCCAAAUGUUCUUAAUGGCAUCUAGAAUGGUGAAUCCUUCCCAGAAGGUCUUCAGUUUACUUUUCUCAGACCCAUCAGAGUUCUCAGUUGUUUUGAAACUAGUACCAAUUAUGAAGUCAUGAACAAUCAAGGACAGAGAAUUUAUUUUGCAGAAGAGAGAAGUAAUUGUUUCCUCCAAUACCUCUGUGGACCUUCAAGAUCUUUUACCAUGACAAUUUAGGAUAAUGUAGGCUGUGAUGUCAUUACUAUGCAUAAAGCUUUAAGAAACUGCUACCUACAAAAGCUAAAAGUUGAGGCUCCUCCUGGUGAAAAAAUUGGAUAUGUGUACGAAUACUUUCACCCAUUUUUGGCAAUGUUUAAAAUAAAAAAUGAGAAUAAGGAGGAUAUGAAAAUCAGAGGGCCAUGUGUGGUUUCCAGUUGUCUCAAGGAUCUAAAUCUUACUGUGAGUAUCAUUAAGGCUUACAUGUUUAUACUGCUUAUAAGACAUUUUUUUAAGCUAUAUUUCAAGUAUGUAGCUAUCAAAUAACAAGUUUGUUACUUCAUAGUUCAAGGAAUGUUGG